GACGAACGCUGGCGGCGUGCUUAACACAUGCAAGUCGAACGGAAAGGCCCUGCUUUUGUGGGGUGCUCGAGUGGCGAACGGGUGAGUAACACGUGAGUAACCUGCCCUUGACUUUGGGAUAACUUCAGGAAACUGGGGCUAAUACCGGAUAGGAGCUCCUGCUGCAUGGUGGGGGUUGGAAAGUUUCGGCGGUUGGGGAUGGACUCGCGGCUUAUCAGCUUGUUGGUGGGGUAGUGGCUUACCAAGGCUUUGACGGGUAGCCGGCCUGAGAGGGUGACCGGCCACAUUGGGACUGGGAUACGGCCCGGACUCCUACGGGAGGCAGCAGUGGGGAAUAGUGCACAAUGGGCGGAAGCCUGAUGCAGCAACGCCGCGUGCGGGAUGACGGCCUUCGGGUUGUAAACCGCUUUCGCCUGUGACGAAGCGUGAGUGACGGUAAUGGGUAAAGAAGCACCGGCUAACUACGUG
rnacentral:rRNA from 1 species